rnacentral:rRNA from 1 species
GGUUAAGCGACUAAGCGUACACGGUGGAUGCCCUGGCAGUCAGAGGCGAUGAAGGACGUGCUAAUCUGCGAUAAGCGUCGGUAAGGUGAUAUGAACCGUUAUAACCGGCGAUUUCCGAAUGGGGAAACCCAGUGUGAUUCGUCACACUAUCAUUAACUGAAUCCAUAGGUUAAUGAGGCGAACCGGGGGAACUGAAACAUCUAAGUACCCCGAGGAAAAGAAAUCAACCGAGAUUCCCCCAGUAGCGGCGAGCGAACGGGGAGCAGCCCAGAGCCUGAAUCAGUGUGUGUGUUAGUGGAAGCGUCUGGAAAGGCGCGCGAUACAGGGUGACAGCCCCGUACACAAAAAUGCACAUGCUGUGAGCUCGAUGAGUAGGGCGGGACACGUGGUAUCCUGUCUGAAUAUGGGGGGACCAUCCUCCAAGGCUAAAUACUCCUGACUGACCGAUAGUGAACCAGUACCGUGAGGGAAAGGCGAAAAGAACCCCGGCGAGGGGAGUGAAAAAGAACCUGAAACCGUGUACGUACAAGCAGUGGGAGCACGCUUAGGCGUGUGACUGCGUACCUUUUGUAUAAUGGGUCAGCGACUUAUAUUCUGUAGCAAGGUUAACCGAAUAGGGGAGCCGAAGGGAAACCGAGUCUUAACUGGGCGUUAAGUUGCAGGGUAUAGACCCGAAACCCGGUGAUCUAGCCAUGGGCAGGUUGAAGGUUGGGUAACACUAACUGGAGGACCGAACCGACUAAUGUUGAAAAAUUAGCGGAUGACUUGUGGCUGGGGGUGAAAGGCCAAUCAAACCGGGAGAUAGCUGGUUCUCCCCGAAAGCUAUUUAGGUAGCGCCUCGUGAAUUCAUCUCCGGGGGUAGAGCACUGUUUCGGCAAGGGGGUCAUCCCGACUUACCAACCCGAUGCAAACUGCGAAUACCGGAGAAUGUUAUCACGGGAGACACACGGCGGGUGCUAACGUCCGUCGUGAAGAGGGAAACAACCCAGACCGCCAGCUAAGGUCCCAAAGUCAUGGUUAAGUGGGAAACGAUGUGGGAAGGCCCAGACAGCCAGGAUGUUGGCUUAGAAGCAGCCAUCAUUUAAAGAAAGCGUAAUAGCUCACUGGUCGAGUCGGCCUGCGCGGAAGAUGUAACGGGGCUAAACCAUGCACCGAAGCUGCGGCAGCGACGCUUAUGCGUUGUUGGGUAGGGGAGCGUUCUGUAAGCCUGUGAAGGUGUGCUGUGAGGCAUGCUGGAGGUAUCAGAAGUGCGAAUGCUGACAUAAGUAACGAUAAAGCGGGUGAAAAGCCCGCUCGCCGGAAGACCAAGGGUUCCUGUCCAACGUUAAUCGGGGCAGGGUGAGUCGACCCCUAAGGCGAGGCCGAAAGGCGUAGUCGAUGGGAAACAGGUUAAUAUUCCUGUACUUGGUGUUACUGCGAAGGGGGGACGGAGAAGGCUAUGUUGGCCGGGCGACGGUUGUCCCGGUUUAAGCGUGUAGGCUGGUUUUCCAGGUAAAUCCGGAAAAUCAAGGCUGAGGCGUGAUGACGAGGCACUACGGUGCUGAAGCAACAAAUGCCCUGCUUCCAGGAAAAGCCUCUAAGCAUCAGGUAACAUCAAAUCGUACCCCAAACCGACACAGGUGGUCAGGUAGAGAAUACCAAGGCGCUUGAGAGAACUCGGGUGAAGGAACUAGGCAAAAUGGUGCCGUAACUUCGGGAGAAGGCACGCUGAUAUGUAGGUGAAGUCCCUCGCGGAUGGAGCUGAAAUCAGUCGAAGAUACCAGCUGGCUGCAACUGUUUAUUAAAAACACAGCACUGUGCAAACACGAAAGUGGACGUAUACGGUGUGACGCCUGCCCGGUGCCGGAAGGUUAAUUGAUGGGGUUAGCCGCAAGGCGAAGCUCUUGAUCGAAGCCCCGGUAAACGGCGGCCGUAACUAUAACGGUCCUAAGGUAGCGAAAUUCCUUGUCGGGUAAGUUCCGACCUGCACGAAUGGCGUAAUGAUGGCCAGGCUGUCUCCACCCGAGACUCAGUGAAAUUGAACUCGCUGUGAAGAUGCAGUGUACCCGCGGCAAGACGGAAAGACCCCGUGAACCUUUACUAUAGCUUGACACUGAACAUUGAGCCUUGAUGUGUAGGAUAGGUGGGAGGCUUUGAAGUGUGGACGCCAGUCUGCAUGGAGCCGACCUUGAAAUACCACCCUUUAAUGUUUGAUGUUCUAACGUUGACCCGUGAUCCGGGUUGCGGACAGUGUCUGGUGGGUAGUUUGACUGGGGCGGUCUCCUCCUAAAGAGUAACGGAGGAGCACGAAGGUUGGCUAAUCCUGGUCGGACAUCAGGAGGUUAGUGCAAUGGCAUAAGCCAGCUUGACUGCGAGCGUGACGGCGCGAGCAGGUGCGAAAGCAGGUCAUAGUGAUCCGGUGGUUCUGAAUGGAAGGGCCAUCGCUCAACGGAUAAAAGGUACUCCGGGGAUAACAGGCUGAUACCGCCCAAGAGUUCAUAUCGACGGCGGUGUUUGGCACCUCGAUGUCGGCUCAUCACAUCCUGGGGCUGAAGUAGGUCCCAAGGGUAUGGCUGUUCGCCAUUUAAAGUGGUACGCGAGCUGGGUUUAGAACGUCGUGAGACAGUUCGGUCCCUAUCUGCCGUGGGCGCUGGAGAAUUGAGGGGGGCUGCUCCUAGUACGAGAGGACCGGAGUGGACGCAUCACUGGUGUUCGGGUUGUCAUGCCAAUGGCACUGCCCGGUAGCUAAAUGCGGAAGAGAUAAGUGCUGAAAGCAUCUAAGCACGAAACUUGCCCCGAGAUGAGUUCUCCCUGACUCCUUGAGAGUCCUGAAGGAACGUUGAAGACGACGACGUUGAUAGGCCGGGUGUGUAAGCGCAGCGAUGCGUUGAGCUAACCGGUACUAAUGAACCGUGAGGCUUAACCUU